GUUCUACUCCCUUCGUCCAAUAAAAGAUAUCUCAAGUUUGUCAAAAUUUGAAUGUAUCUAAACAUGACUUAGUGUAUAGAUGCAUUCAAAUUUAGUCAAAGUUGGACAUUGUUGGACGGAGGAAGUAUGAG
rnacentral:pre_miRNA from 1 species